rnacentral:rRNA from 1 species
GAAAGGCAUCACGAGGGUUACACUGUCUCCUCUCUCUAAUCAGUGAAACUAAUCUCCCCGUGAAGAAGCGGGGAUUUAUAUAUAAGACGAGAAGACCCUAUGGAGCUUUAAAUGACAAUAACAAUUGCUACAACAUCUUUUUACUCCAGAAAAUUUACUUUUAUCCUAGCAUCAUGAUUAUUAAUUUUAGGUUGGGGUGACCGCGGAGCACAAAACAACCUCCAUAUUGAAAUAGAAUAUAAAUUCUUAGCAAAAAGUCACAACUUUAUGCAUCAACAAAUUGACAUCAAUUGACCCAAUAUUUUGACCAACGAACCAAGUUACCCUAGGGAUAACAGCGCAAUCCACUUCAAGAGCUCAUAUCGACAAGUGG